rnacentral:rRNA from 1 species
GUGAGGAAUAUUGGUCAAUGGACGAGAGUCUGAACCAGCCAAGUCGCGUGAAGGAAGACGGUUCUAUGAAUUGUAAACUUCUUUUGUGCAGGAAUAAAGUGGGUUACGUGUAACCUUUUGUAUGUACUGUACGAAUAAGGAUCGGCUAACUCCGUGCCAGCAGCCGCGGUAAUACGGAGGAUCCGAGCGUUAUCCGGAUUUAUUGGGUUUAAAGGGUGCGUAGGUGGAUUGAUAAGUCAGCGGUGAAAGUUUGCAGCUUAACUGUAAAAUUGCCGUUGAAACUGUCGGUCUUGAGUGCAAAUGAGGUAGGCGGAAUGUGUUGUGUAGCGGUGAAAUGCUUAGAUAUAACACAGAACACCAAUUGCGAAGGCAGCUUACUGGGAUGCAACUGACGCUGAGGCACGAAAGCGUGGGGAUCAAACAGGAUUAGAAACCCUUGUAGUCC